CGGAGGUGCAAGCGUUAAUCGGAAUUACUGGGCGUAAAGCGCACGCAGGCGGCUUUAAGUCGGAUGUGAAAGCCCCGGGCUCAACCUGGGAAUUGCAUCUGAUACUGGGAAGCUAGAGUAUGUGAGAGGGGGUAGGAAUUCCAAGUGUAGCGGUGAAAUGCGUAGAGAUUUGGAGGAAUACCAGUGGCGAAGGCGGCCCCCUGGCACAAUACUGACGCUCAGGUGCGAAAGCGUGGGGAGCAAACAGGAUU
rnacentral:rRNA from 1 species